rnacentral:rRNA from 1 species
GAUGAACGCUAGCGGCAGGCUUAAUACAUGCAAGUCGAGGGGCAGCACGGUUAGCAAUAACUGGUGGCGACCGGCGCACGGGUGCGUAACACGUAUACAAUCUACCUUAAACCGGGGGAUAGCCUUUCGAAAGAGAGAUUAAUACCCCGUAAUAAAUUGAACGGCAUCGUUUGAUUUUGAAAGCUCCGGCGGUUUGAGAUGAGUAUGCGUCUGAUUAGCUAGUUGGUGAGGUAACGGCUCACCAAGGCGACGAUCAGUAGGGGAUCUGAGAGGACUAACCCCCCACACUGGUACUGAGACACGGACCAGACUCCUACGGGAGGCAGCAGUAAGGAAUAUUGGUCAAAUGGAGGCAACUCUGAACCAGCCAUGCCGCGUGCAGGAUGACGGCCCUAUGGGUUGUAAACUGCUUUUAUACAAGAGAAAACCCUGGUACGUGUACCAGGUUGGUAGUAUUGUAAGAAUAAGCAUCGGCUAACUUCGUGCCAGCAGCCGCGGUAAU